GCCCUCCCUUAGCUCCGCCCUACUGACAGCGCUGACGUGUCAUCAAACAAAUCUGACAUACAAUUGCAGGAAUAAAUUCCUAUUUUUGCAGAGAACAAGAGGUACAUUUUAGGGGAAUGAAGGUGUCUUUUCCAAAAUGAAAGGUUGCUCGUGCACAGCCAACAGAUGAACACCUUGCAUUGGCGACAGAAGAACUCCUGCAAGUACUUGUGCUGAGUGCAGAUCUUCUCAGUCAAGUUCCCUGUCGGCGCAAUCAGCUCGUGCUCUCUCAGGGCCUUGGUGGUCUGGUGAGGCUUCAGGUCGCACUGCACAACCGAGGAGGGGAGAAGGUUUGGGGAUUUUAAUUUGAUGCUUUUAGAGACCUCAGAUCUUGGGAUUCCUCUGCGGAGCUGCUCCACCGCUUCAGCCAGCAUGGUGUUUCUGGAAAGCGAGGGCCGAGGGCAGAAAGUCUGACGGCACUGGGGGCAGCUGUAGAUACCCUUGGGAUCAUCCUUGCUCCAGUAGUCCUUAAUACAGCCCAUGCAGUAGCUGUGCCCGCAGGGGAUGGUGACCGGAUCGUUCGGGAGAUCCAGACACACGGGGCAGUUGAACUGCUCUUCUGUCCACAGUUUAUUACUCAUGGUCCAACAAGCGAAUAGAAAGCAAAAAAUGUCACGGUGGUAGACAACCAGUGAAA